rnacentral:rRNA from 1 species
AGUGAACGCUGGCGGUAGGCCUAACACAUGCAAGUCGAACGGCAGCACAGUAAGAGCUUGCUCUUACGGGUGGCGAGUGGCGGACGGGUGAGGAAUACAUCGGAAUCUACUUUUUCGUGGGGGAUAACGUAGGGAAACUUACGCUAAUACCGCAUACGACCUACGGGUGACAGCAGGGGAUCUUCGGACCUUGCGCGAUUGAAUGAGCCGAUGUCGGAUUAGCUAGUUGGCGGGGUAAAGGCCCACCAAGGCGACGAGCCGUAGCUGGUCUGAGAGGAUGAUCGGCCACACUGGAACUGAGGCACGGUCCAGACUCCUACGGGGGGCAGCAGUGGGGAAUAUUGGACAAUGGGCGCAAGCCUGAUCCAGCCAUACCGCGUGGGUGAAGAAGGCCUUCGGGUUGUAAAGCCCUUUUGUUGGGAAAGAAAAGCAGCAGGUUAAUACCCCGCUGUUCUGACGGUACCCAAAGAAUAAGCACCGGCUAACUUCGUG